ACACCUUCUCGGCCUUUAUGGCUUUGAUCAAGUGUAGUAUCUGUUCUAGCAAGCUUAACAUCUUGCUUGCCCUUACGGGGGUAAAAGAAAAGAAUUUUUAGAGGGAAGUUAAGGAAAUGGAAGGCAAGCUUUUCAAGAACUUAACAAGGAUGUGCAUGGAAACAUGAUGCGUCUACCCUAA
rnacentral:snRNA from 1 species